rnacentral:rRNA from 1 species
AUUGAACGCUGGCGGCAGGCCUAACACAUGCAAGUCGAACGGUAACAGGAAGAAGCUUGCUUCUUUGCUGACGAGUGGCGGACGGGUGAGUAAUGUCUGGGAAACUGCCUGAUGGAGGGGGAUAACUACUGGAAACGGUAGCUAAUACCGCAUAACGUCGCAAGACCAAAGAGGGGGACCUUCGGGCCUCUUGCCAUCGGAUGUGCCCAGAUGGGAUUAGCUAGUAGGUGGGGUAACGGCUCACCUAGGCGACGAUCCCUAGCUGGUCUGAGAGGAUGACCAGCCACACUGGAACUGAGACACGGUCCAGACUCCUACGGGAGGCAGCAGUGGGGAAUAUUGCACAAUGGGCGCAAGCCUGAUGCAGCCAUGCCGCGUGUAUGAAGAAAGCCUUCGGGUUGUAAAGUACUUUCAGCGGGGAGGAAGGGAGUAAAGUUAAUACCUUUGCUCAUUGACGUUACCCGCAGAAGAAGCACCGGCUAACUCCGU